AUGUGUGAGCAGGACGAUGAACCACCGAGGGAAGCUGGUGUGCGGUCUUGUGAAUGGCCAUCAGAGGAGUUUAUGGUCAAAGCGGGCAUCAAGGAUGAAUUUGAUGCGUAUGUGCGUAAUGCCGAUCUUGAGGACUUCAUGCGAGAUAAGUGUCAUCAGUACUACUAUUUGACUGAUUCAUUCGUGAGAAGGUUUAAAUUUACAUCUUCGCGUAAUUCUCCAAGUGUCAUGUUUGAUAUUUAUGAUAAAUCAUAUACCAUGGACCUAGAAGAUUUCACUACUGCUUGUAAACUCCCGCAGUGGGGCAAUGUUAAUGAACCCCGUAAAUCUGAAUAUAAAGACUUUCUUGCUAGUAUCACCGUGGGAGAAUCUAGAGACAUAGCACAAGCUACCAUAGGGAGCAUUCACUUUCCUGCUAUACAUUAUUUUGCUCUCUUUAUUGGUAGAUGCAUUAACAGUAAAGAUGAAGCAUGUCACAUGUGUGUUCCUGAUCUUUGUGUUCUCAAGACUGCUGUAUUAGGUGAUAAGCAAUACAACUCGGGGGCAAUUGUUGCACGUAGGUUGCAUAAUAAUGGUUUAGUUGGAGAUUUGUUUGGAGGGAUUUAUGUGACCCAUGAGGCUAAUUAUCUUGGUAUACCUAUACAUGAAGAUGAUAGGGAGUUGCCUCCCGCUUAUCUAGAUUAUAAUGCCAUGGUUAGCCAUCAUUUUGUUCAGAGGAAUGAACAAUUCCUCCAGUAUCGACUAAUCUUUGACAGACGUCGCGCUGUCCAUAUUACUCUCCCUGCUCCUGCCCUCUUUGAUUACCAGGCAAAAGGAAGAUAUGUUAUAACCAGGGAGGAGGCGCAUGAGUAUGAGAGGAGGACAGAGGCAGCUCGCCGCCAUGCUGCAGCUCAGGAGGCAAUGGCUGCUGCAUCUCGGUACGACCCCAGUUACAACUUCGGAUAUCAGGCAGGCUACCCAUGGCCAUAG
rnacentral:rRNA from 1 species